GAGUAGUAAGAGAUGAUCUUGAAACUUAAAAUUUUUGGCGGUUUUUUAAGCUGUUUAGAGGAACCUGUCCUAUAAUAGAUAGUCCACUGUUGAUUUAACUCUAAAAAUUGGUUUAUAUACCUCCGUCGUAAAGUAAAUUUUUUAGAAUUUAUUGAGAAUUUUUUGAAAACAUGACAGGUCAAGGUGUAGCUAAUGUUGGAGGGUGAGAUGGGUUACAAUGUCUGAUUGAUAAACGGAUGUUAUGUUAGAAUAUUUUUAUUUGAAGGUGGAUUUAAAAGUAAUUUUGGUGAUUAAGAUGCUAGGAUGAAAUAUGGCUCUGAGAAAUGU
rnacentral:rRNA from 1 species